ensembl:lncRNA
CGGUGGCUGGACCAGGGGCUGGGUGGCUGGACCUCGACCCUGACCAGGGGCGGUGGCUGGACCAGGACCUGGACCUGGAGCAGCACAGCAGCUUGUGGACAUGGACCCUGCUCCUGUUGUCGACCCAAACAAGUCUACUGGAGCAGUGACCUCCGCCCCAGCAUGACGACCCUGGGAUCCAACGACACACCUGUAUACACCCAUGUGUAUCGAACCCACCUAUUGUACUCCUUACACCCCUAGAAUCACACAUUCACUGGGAUUACACUGAUUUACUUCAUCAAGAGAGACAACUUUAAAUGUUUUGGUUUUUGUUUAUUUGCAGGGUGAUCAUUGUAACUCUUGAAGAAUUCAGAAUAAAAUCAUCUCUGAUUCCUUAA